rnacentral:rRNA from 1 species
UACGUAGGGGGCGAGCGUUGUCCGGAUUCAUUGGGCGUAAAGAGCUCGUAGGCGGCUUGCUAAGUCAGGUGUGAAAUCUCCAGGCUCAACCUGGAGUCGCCACCUGAUACUGGUAUGGCUUGAGUCCGGUAGGGGAUCACGGAAUUCCUGGUGUAGCGGUGAAAUGCGCAGAUAUCGGGAGGAACACCUGUGGCGAAAGCGGCUCACUGGACAGUAACUGACGCUGAUGCGCGAAAGCUAGGGGAGCAAACAGG